rnacentral:misc_RNA from 1 species
GAUUCGACCUUCGGGUCUAUCUUCUCUUCAGCUGUGCGCUUUGGCUCCACGUUGUUGAAUCUCACACACCUGUGCACACUUCGGUUGUGACCUGUUAAAUCAGGCCGCAUCCGCUUUUACAUUUAACAACCAAGUCAAGAAUGUCAAAUACAAUAAAAUAACAACUUUUAACAACGGAUCUCUUGGCUCU